rnacentral:rRNA from 1 species
AUUGAACGCUGGCGGCAGGCCUAACACAUGCAAGUCGAGCGGAUGACGGGAGCUUGCUCCUUGAUUCAGCGGCGGACGGGUGAGUAAUGCCUAGGAAUCUGCCUGGUAGUGGGGGACAACGUGUCGAAAGGAACGCUAAUACCGCAUACGUCCUACGGGAGAAAGCAGGGGACCUUCGGGCCUUGCGCUAUCAGAUGAGCCUAGGUCGGAUUAGCUAGUUGGUGGGGUAAUGGCUCACCAAGGCGACGAUCCGUAACUGGUCUGAGAGGAUGAUCAGUCACACUGGAACUGAGACACGGUCCAGACUCCUACGGGAGGCAGCAGUGGGGAAUAUUGGACAAUGGGCGAAAGCCUGAUCCAGCCAUGCCGCGUGUGUGAAAAAGGUCUUCGGAUUGUAAAGCACUUUAAGUUGGGAGGAAGGGCAGUAAGUUAAUACCUUGCUGUUUUGACAUUACCGACAGAAUAAGCACCGGCUAACUCUGUGCCAGCAGCCGCCGUAA